rnacentral:rRNA from 1 species
UACGUAGGGUGCAAGCGUUGUCCGGAAUUAUUGGGCGUAAAGAGCUUGUAGGCGGUUUGUCGCGUCUGCUGUGAAAUUUCGGGGCUCAACCCCGAACUUGCAGUGGGUACGGGCAGACUAGAGUGUGGUAGGGGAGACUGGAAUUCCUGGUGUAGCGGUGAAAUGCGCAGAUAUCAGGAGGAACACCGAUGGCGAAGGCAGGUCUCCGGGCCACUACUGACGCUGAGAAGCGAAAGCAUGGGGAGCGAACAGG